UACGUAGGGUGCAAGCGUUUAAUCGGAAUUACUGGGCGUAAAGCGUGCGCAGGCGGUUUGGUAAGACAGAUGUGAAAUCCCCGGGCUUAACCUGGGAAUGGCAUUUGUGACUGCCCGGCUAGAGUGUGUCAGAGGGGGGUAGAAUUCCACGUGUAGCAGUGAAAUGCGUAGAGAUGUGGAGGAAUACCGAUGGCGAAGGCAGCCCCCUGGGAUAACACUGACGCUCAUGCACGAAAGCGUGGGGAGCAAACAGG
rnacentral:rRNA from 1 species